AAGAUAUCACAGAACCUUGAAGUCUGAUCCCAUAUAUUUAAAUUACACUACUCACAAGAACUGACAAAAAGGUUACAAUACAAGAACCAACUAAGCGGCAUUCUUCACAAAGAACGACCAUAGUGCUAUCAUUCACAGAACAGUCUCUCCAUUAUGAACUUGUUUUAGAUAAUGUUACACACAGUUUUUGUUCGAGGAAAAUGACUCCAAUGCGUUUGAUUCCAAUUAAGCUAAAUCAUUACUUGCACACUCCAGUGGCAAAUUCAGAUAUAAAAUCCUUUACUCUGGAUGAAUCCUUAUCUUAUAAGAGCAAAUAAUUCAAAUAUAACACUGAACACUG
rnacentral:misc_RNA from 1 species